GCCAUGCAUGUCUCAGUACAUGCCAAAUUAAGGUGAAACCGCGAAUGGCUCAUUAAAUCAGUUAUGGUUCCUUAGAUCGUACCCACAUUUACUUGGAUAACUGUGGUAAUUCUAGAGCUAAUACAUGCAAACUAGAGUUCCGACCAGAGAUGGAAGGAACGCUUUUAUUAGAUCAAAACCAAUCGGUGGCGGGCUUGCUCGUCCACCGUUUACCUUGGUGACUCUGAAUAACUUUGUGCUGAUCGUACGAUCUCGUAUCGACGACGCAUCUUUCAAAUGUCUGCCUUAUCAACUGUCGAUGGUAGGUUCUGCGCCUACCAUGGUUGUAACGGGUAACGGGGAAUCAGGGUUCGAUUCCGGAGAGGGAGCCUGAGAAACGGCUACCACAUCCAAGGAAGGCAGCAGGCGCGCAAAUUACCCACUCCCGGCACGGGGAGGUAGUGACGAAAAAUAACGAUACGGGACUCAUCCGAGGCCCCGUAAUCGGAAUGAGUACACUUUAAAUCCUUUAACGAGGAUCAAUUGGAGGGCAAGUCUGGUGCCAGCAGCCGCGGUAAUUCCAGCUCCAAUAGCGUAUAUUAAAGUUGUUGCGGUUAAAAAGCUCGUAGUUGGAUUUUAACUCUAUGCUGUCGGUUCGCCGCUCGCGGUGUUUAACUGACAUGUCAUGGAGUAUUUAACCGGUGGACUUAGCUCUUCGGGGCGGUCCAAUUAUAUCCCAUCGCGGUGCUCUUCAUUGAGUGUCUUGGUGGGCCGGUACGUUUACUUUGAACAAAUUAGAGUGCUUAAAGCAGGCUAUUUUCGCCUGAAUAUUCUGUGCAUGGAAUAAUGGAAUAGGACCUCGGUUCUAUUUUGUUGGUUUUCGGAAAUCCGAGGUAAUGAUUAAUAGGGACAGA
rnacentral:rRNA from 1 species